AUUGAACGCUGGCGGCAGGCUUAACACAUGCAAGUCGAACGAGUGGCGGACGGGUGAGUAAUGUUUGGGAAUCUACCCUAUGGAGGGGGAUAACUACUGGAAACGGUAGCUAAUACCGCAUACCAUCAGAUGAACCCAUUUGGGAUUAGCUUGUGGGUGGGGUAAAGGCUCACCUAGGCGACGAUCCCUAGCUGGUCUGAGAGGAUGAUCAGCCACACUGGGACUGAGACACGGCCCAGACUCCUACGGGAGGCAGCAGUGGGGAAUAUUGGACAAUGGGCGAAAGCCUGAUCCAGCCAUGCCGCGUGUAUGAAGAAGGCCUUCGGGUUGUAAAGUACUUUCAGUCGGGAGGCGUUACCGACAGAAGAAGCACCGGCUAACUCCGUGCCAGCAGCCGCGGUAAUAC
rnacentral:rRNA from 1 species